UGGGGAAUAUUGGACAAUGGGGGAAACCCUGAUCCAGCAAUGCCGCGUGAGUGAAGAAGGCCUUAGGGUUGUAGAGCUCUUUCGCCCGCGAAGAUAAUGACGGUAGCGGGAGAAGAAGCCCCGGCUAACUCCGUGCCAGCAGCCGCGGUAAUACGGAGGGGGCUAGCGUUGUUCGGAAUUACUGGGCGUAAAGCGUACGUAGGCGGAUGCGCAAGUUGGGGGUGAAAUCCCGGGGCUUAACCUCGGAAUUGCCCUCAAAACUGCACGUCUUGAGACCGAGAGAGGUAAGGGGAAUUCCUAGUGUAGAGGUGAAAUUCGUAGAUAUUAGGAAGAACACCAGUGGAGAAGGCGCCUUACUGGCUUGGUACUGACGCUGAGGUACGAAAGCGUGGGGAGCAAACA
rnacentral:rRNA from 1 species